AUAAAGUACAGAGCUGCUGAGGCUUCAACUUAUUUAUAGGUAUGGCUGUUGCACCACUGCUCUAAAUUCACAGUCACAGCAAUUACAUGUCUAUGUUUUGCAUUUGGGUUAUGCAUUUCAUCUCUGAUCUGUGUCUGUGCCUGUUCUUCCUGGGGAAUGUAUACUAUCUUUUUCUUGGCCUGCACAGUGUUUGGUACAGCCACAUACCAUUGCUGAGAAACAGUCCCAUUUUACUCUAUAUCCAAGGAUUCUUUAUCAGUAACAGUAAUGAAGCAGAGGCAUGCUCUAUGUUCAGAACAAAGGCAAACAGAACACCUUUCACCUUUGACUCCCCGAGCAUCAUGAAGGAUGUAAUGCCCAGGAAGCAAAACAAUAGCAGGCAGUCAGAUGUCUGCUAGGGAUAUGAAAUGAUGACCUGUGCCCAAGUCAGAGAGGCAACCAGUUUUAGUUCCAGGCUUCAACAUCUUGCUUAAGAAAUGUGAGUCCACAUAGUGAUUUUAAAUAUUGUGUAUAAAACCACAGUGCAAGUAGAGUGAUCUGCAGCACUGGCUGAGCACGGGGCUACCUUGGGGUGUUAUUCCCACUGACUGUUCUCAUGAGACAUGGAGGUCCCUAGUAAUUUUCUCCGAAGGCUCUGUUUCCUUGCUUGCAGCAAUUUGAGCUAGCAGCAGAGCUGUCCAAAGGUCACUUGAUGUUAAAUGUUCUUCACUGAAUGCUUUAUGUCAGUGAAUUCAGUAUAAGUACACAAGUCUUUCAUAUUCAGACAAUUAGUUGAAACACUUUUUGCUUUACUCUAAAAUCUAUAAAUUCUGUAAUGCUGAUAAUACUGUAGAACCUACCGGUGAAACAUGCCUAAGUUUUGUUUGUUUUGCUUUUAGGGACAUUUUUUUUUUUUUUUUCCUUCAGAAGUUGAGUUUGUUCUUUUAAACUAUCUGAAGAACUCAGUGUCAUUUGAGUAAAAUCAUCCAAGAAGACCUGGAAGUCCUUCUCGUUCGGACCGUGGUUGUUGUACUGUCCGCUCUAACAACACAGACAAGACCAUAGGUCAUGGGUCACUCUUGCUCUAGAGAUCUCCAGUGUUCCUGCAGAGCCCAAAGGCAACUGCCAACACAGUUCCACUCUCUCAAGCAAAAGUGCUCAAGAAGCUUCAGAAUGUGGAGGAAGAAACAAGCCCAAAUAGCCAAGGAAUUACUAAAUGUUAAGGGCGAACCUCUAACAAAAAUUUACUUAGAGGGAACCAAUGGAAAGUGCAUGGAAAAAUCAGGAAGUUGCACAACUG
ensembl:lncRNA